GUGCAGCACAUACGCUAAAACUGGAACAAGACAGAGAAGAUUAGCAUUGCCCCCGUCCAUGGAUGGCAUGAAAAUCCCUGAAGCAUUCCAUAUUUUU
ensembl:snRNA U6 U6 spliceosomal RNA